rnacentral:rRNA from 1 species
AGAGUUUGAUCCUGGCUCAGAAUCAACGCUGGCGGCGUGCCUAACACACGCAAGUCGAACGAGAAAGUGGAGCAAUCCAUGAGUAAAGUGGCGCACGGGUGAGUAACACGUGACUAACCUACCCUUGAGUGGGGGAUAACCUAGGGAAACCUGGGCUAAUACCGCAUAAUACCUUCGGGUCAAAGGAGCAAUUCGCUUAAGGAGGGGGUCGCGGCCGAUUAGUUAGUUGGCGGGGUAAUGGCCCACCAAGACGAUGAUCGGUAUCCGGCCUGAGAGGGCGCACGGACACACUGGAACUGAAACACGGUCCAGACUCCUACGGGAGGCAGCAGUGGGGAAUUUUGCGCAAUGGGGGAAACCCUGACGCAGCAACGCCGCGUGGAGGAUGAAGCCCCUUGGGGCGUAAACUCCUUUCGAUCGGGACGAUUAUGACGGUACCGG